GUGGGGAAUCUUGCGCAAUGGGCGAAAGCCUGACGCAGCCAUGCCGCGUGAAUGAUGAAGGUCUUAGGAUUGUAAAAUUCUUUCACCGGGGACGAUAAUGACGGUACCCGGAGAAGAAGCUCCGGCUAACUUCGUGCCAGCAGCCGCGGUAAUACGAAGGGGGCUAGCGUUGCUCGGAAUUACUGGGCGUAAAGGGCGCGUAGGCGGACAGCUUAGUCAGAGGUGAAAGCCCAGGGCUCAACCUUGGAAUUGCCUUUGAUACUGGCUGUGUUGGGUUUGGGAGAGGUGAGUGGAACUCCGAGUGUAGAGGUGAAAUUCGUAGAUAGUCGGAAGAACACCAGUGGCGAAGGCGACUCACUGGCCCAAUACUGACGCUGAGGCGCGAAAGCGUGGGGAGCAAACAGGAUUAGAUACCCUUGUAGUCC
rnacentral:rRNA from 1 species